GUGGGGAAUCUUAGACAAUGGGGGAAACCCUGAUCUAGCCAUGCCGCGUGAGCGAUGAAGGCCUUAGGGUUGUAAAGCUCUUUCAGAUGGGAAGAUAAUGACGGUACCAUCAGAAGAAGCCCCGGCUAACUCCGUGCCAGCAGCCGCGGUAAUACGGAGGGGGCUAGCGUUGUUCGGAAUUACUGGGCGUAAAGCGCACGUAGGCGGACCAGAAAGUCAGAGGUGAAAUCCCAGGGCUCAACCUUGGAACUGCCUUUGAAACUCCUGGUCUUGAGGUCGAGAGAGGUGAGUGGAAUUCCGAGUGUAGAGGUGAAAUUCGUAGAUAUUCGGAGGAACACCAGUGGCGAUGGCGGCUCACUGGCUCGAUACUGACGCUGAGGUGCGAAAGCGUGGGGAGCAAACAGGAUUAGAUACCCCGGUAGUCC
rnacentral:rRNA from 1 species